UACAGAGGUCCCAAGCGUUGUUCGGAUUCACUGGGCGUAAAGGGUUCGUAGGCGGUCGGGUAAGUCUGAUGUGAAAUCUCACAGCUUAACUGUGAAACUGCAUUGGAUACUAUCCGGCUCGAGGAAUGGAGGGGAGACUGGAAUACUUGGUGUAGCAGUGAAAUGCGUAGAUAUCAAGUGGAACACCAGUGGCGAAGGCGAGGCUCUGGACAUUUACUGACGCUGAGGCACGAAAGCCAGGGGAGCAAACGGG
rnacentral:rRNA from 1 species